rnacentral:lncRNA from 1 species
AGCUUAUCUAACUAUGUGCUUACUUAGAAGCUCCAGUGCUGGAACUCUCUCCCAUCAGGAGACAACAGUCAAUUUACAAUCUAAAGUAUGCACAUGAUGAAACUCUCUCCCACCUGGAGAGUAUCUUGAGACAACAGCCAUUUUACAACCCAGUUCUGCCCACAAUAGCCCCGCUGGCUGGACCACCUGGUGGAUAAGGCACUGAAGUGAGUUGUGUAGACCCCUGCCUGCUUGCUCUUUCUCCUGCGUAUUGUUCAUGCCAAGUUCCCAUUUAAAGCCCCUGAUUUCUGCCCCCAAAGUAAAACAGUACCUUUAAAGGCAGGAGCCUGUAUUUCUUCCCCUAAGCUAAGCUUUGAAACAGCAUCACGUUCUUUAUACCAGAACUUGCUCUUGUUCAUUUGACUCUGCUAGUGUCGAGUGACUGAACUUGUAUUUCAGUUACAAUCCUACUUUUAUGCUAUACUUGUGGAAUGAAGAGAGGCUAAAUGGGCCUAAGGUUGAACAGUGAAAUGAAUAUAUUUGCAUGUUUAAAGGUCAUUUUUGGUGGUAGUGUGGUAGAUAACUAGAAAGAAAGAGUGUGGUCAAAGAAAAGUCACUUGAUUGAUUAUGAAAAACCAUUCUCUAGAUGACAGUGCUAAGAGCCUCUUUUAAGGCAGAGACCAUGAGCAAACAGAAGAGGCAAUACACUGGAAAAAUAGGUAGACGUUAGAAUCAGUAGGGAUGGUAACUAGAAUUGGAAUAUUAAGAGGAGGGAACAUUCUGGGACCACUACAGAACUUCCAGGUUGGGUGACUGAUGAUGGUACAACCAAUUAUAAUAAAGAUCUUAGAAGAUCAGUAGGUGGUGGUAGAGGGUGGUAGAGCAUAGGAUUAGCCAAGGUAGACUUAGCUUGAUAUGUUUGUGGGACGUCGUUUGGUAAAAAUAUCUAGGUGUUGAUUGGAAGGAGGAAUGCAUGUCUAGAAGAAAAGUCAAAGCCACAGAUGAAUACAUGAAACUACUGUUAUUACCAAACCACUCAUCUUCAGUGGAAUGUUCCUUAGUAAUUGGAUUGCAUUCCUCCUCUUCUGGAGAAUGGGACGUCUUAUCAGACUCCACAUGUGUGAACAUGGAGCAUACUUCCCUACCCUUGUGAAUGUGAUAUCACACCUCAAUCAGACCCCACAUGUGAGCUACUGACCUCAACUACUGGACUUUAAAACACAAUAAACUCAGAAGUUUGGCAGACACUGUAAGAGCUGAGGCCAUGGCAGGUUGCACUUGCAGCUGCUGUGCCAAGACUCACAGCUCAGGCAGCCGCAGCACCACACCCUGUUAACCUUUGAAGUUAUCUCCAAAGCCUGGCCUGGCAGCACCAACACCACCCUCCAGUUUUAGGUUCAUCAUGGAUGUCUGCUGUGUUGGAUCUCUGCUGUGUUGGACUCCAGCUCUCCUGAGAAACCUUUCAUGUAAAUGUACACCUCAAUCUUUAACUGGAUUUUACUUUCCGCAGAGGUCUGCUUCUAUCCUAAUUGAUUAGUUAGAAUUUAAUAGUUUUGGAACUCACUCACUAUGUGGUGAUGUACCUCGUCUAUCAAAUGUAUUCCCUGUGAGUUUUUUCUCAUUGUUCUCCUCCUCUUUAAGCACUGCGAAC